AGGAAGUGCAUGUGAGGGGUCUGUAGUUCUUGGAGGCUCUUUCCAGCCAUGGGAUGUGAUGGGAGGGGCUGAGAUGGUGUGGCUGGGGAUCCAACUCUACACUUGCUGUUAGUGUGGGCCUCGGGCGGGACACAUGCAUACGAUCUGUGCGUGGGCGGGGGGGGGGUGCCCAGUCUCCGAGGCUGGACGCAUGCAAGCCAUCUGUGCGGGGCGGGGGAGGGGGGCUGCCCAGUCUUCCCGAUUCGUGGCAAUGCACGAAGGAACAACGGAGCUAAUGCAUGUGAAGACAAUAUUUGAAAGUUGAAGAAAACAGAAAUGCAUGCUGUGAAUGUUUCUGUGGCUUCCUAUUUAAAUGAGGAGUAGCCGAGCACGUGUGGGGACAGCGAUGGAAGGCUAUAAUUGAGUCUGCUUAUGUAAAUGUGAUGUUUUUCUUAAACUCUUUCCAAAGAAUUCUAAAGGAAGUCAUAAGACUAAAAGUCAUUUUAAGGAACUUUUUUUUUCCCUUUCUUUUUGGAGUAGAAAAGACUUUUCAUUUUUGGAGCGAACAGAAAACUUUAAAAAAAAGAAGAAGAAAGAAAAAGAAAAAAGGAUCCAGUAUUUAACACAGGGAACAUAGAGUUUCGGCCCUAGCAGAUGCCACAAGGCAGGUCAACACCACCUAAAAGCCAGUGUUCGAUCUCCUCAUUAUUGAGUUUAACGACUUGGCUUGGAAGGGGCAACCCAUUUGAACUUUAACCCUUAAAUUCUAAGCGGAUAUUGGGUUAGAAAAUUAUGAAAAACAAAACAAAACAAAACAGAAGACUCCUAUAGGUAAACAGGAUCAUUCUUCAAAGGGACUUCACUCCAGUAGAGAAAACCAGCGAUCAUGGAUAUGCAAGGCCUCCGUACCAGGUUUUGAUGACCUUCUAGAGUCCUAACCCACUCCUCACCUGGAACUGAAGCCAGGAGAUGUCUGCAGCCCUGAGAGCCUCAAGGAAAUAAGGCAGAACAAGACAAGCAAGAAACAGUCGGGUGAGAAAAAUCAACGUGAUGGCAAAUUGACAAGCUUGCUUAACUGGGGGCGCCAGAGCCAAGGGCUGACCCCAGAGACCUCCUGACACACCAGGAGCCGUCUCCCUUAAUCUAUUCAAUGGCAUGACACCACUACAUUUUUUUUUUAAAAAGUCAAACAUCAACCUAACUUUUUCUGCCAUUGUGUUUUAAAUUCUGAUGUCUCCCUCGUCUUCCUUUCCUCUGCACUAAAUUAUUAAAAUCACCAACUGCUCAACAAUUAAAAAUAUUUCAGAAAGCGGUGAUGCCAAAUUUGGAUCGACUAAAGUGAAAUCCGACAGAAGGAAAGAUAUUUUCAACCUCUCCGCACUUUGAUGCAUUGUUUAAGGAUAUGGCAACGUGGGAUUAAAACUGACUGCUUGGUCGCCCCUCCCCGCCCCCGCCCACCCUGUAAAACCAGCGAAUGUGUUUACUCGUUUGACGCCAUUAGAGCCUCAUUCCGAUCAUGAGGCACCUGAGUGAAAGACACUAUUGUAUUUAAUUUACAACACACUGGGUUUUUUCCCUCUUCUUGCAUUACUUCCCUUAUGAAAUAUGUUCAAUCUAUGACAUGAUGGUACAACCAACCAACCAAUCAGUCAAGAGUUUUGUUUAGGGAACUCAGAAUGAGGACAAGCUGAAGUUCUUGGCUUUAAGAAGAAUGUUUAGAGUUUUACUAAAUCAUCUAGUUACACACAUUUACACAAGCGAAGGUGUACAGCCAGUGUCACGAGGAAGCAGGAACUCCCUUUGCCACUGUGUAAAAUCCCACCUCAGGCACUGGCUUCCCUUGUUGGUGUGUGAUAGACCCUGGGCAGGCUCUUCCUCAUGUCUGACCGCUCCUUCCCUUUAUUCUGCUGCAUCUACUUCCGUUCUACUUAGUUCCACAGCUGGGUUCCAAAAACCUCACCGAAAUUUCAUUGUCCACGGUGCUAAAGAUGCAAAGACCGAUUGGCCUUGCUGCUUAGUCCAUGAAUUAACGACUCCUUUCACAGCGUGGCACCGUAUGUAAGGAAGUAAGUGGGCUGUGCUUCACAAAGUGGGGGGGGGGUAGUUAUUUGGUUGCAAAUCUACUGUUUUUUUUUCUAUGUAAGGAAAUGCUCAGAGCAAUGCUAGUGGUUACACCACUGAUCAAAUGAGAGCGUAUUUAAUGCCUAAUGUGACCCCAAUCCUCUACCACAGUGUAGAAAAGUACAGUGCAGGAAAACUACACUGUUGUAUGUAUGGAUGUACCAACUCUCAGAGCAUGGAAAAUACAUUCAAACAUUAGCUUGCUCUUAAUUUUUAUAUUAAGAAGUCAAGUGCGGUAAGAUCAAGCAAGAAGUAACUGCCCAAGGGUAAGCUAUUGAAGAAGGAACAGGUCCCUUUCUGGAACUUAGGCUUCAGACCUCAGAACCCCUGGUCUUCCUCCUAGGAUAUUUUGAAACUGUCCCAGAGCAUCUCAGGGGUAACACAGUCAUAGCAAGGCAGUGAAUUUUAGCUAAAGUUGUAACUAUGCUCACAGAGAACUUCCUACUUUAAAAAUAUUUGCUUUGAUCCUCGUGUCUCUGAAAGUGAGUGUAUUGUGGGCGGCUGCACUCUCCCUGAGGUAGCUUCCUUGGCUUGGGGAUAAGUUGUUGGUCAAGUAUACGUUACCAGAUUGGUUAGUUCUUGACUCUGUCUCAAUGGCUGAAGAAUUCCCCUUCAAUUCUUAGGCGAGGAACUCAACAUACUGAUUAAUUAGAAAACUAAGGUGCUGCUAAAAAACAAAGGUUUGUGAAGCUGGUCCUGUUUGGUUUGUACCGAAGUCACCGGAGAGCCUUUUGUCUGUCUGUUGCAUGGCUUAAGUGAAGGAUUAAACAUACCCAGACACUUAAUAAGGCAUUAGUUACGCAAGCCUUACAUAUUUUACCGAGCAUUUUAAGCAAAAGCUUAAAUUCUCAAGAAAAUUAGGCCAAAGUAGGAAUUUCUUUCUUUCCUAAGAGACCAAACGAGGCUCUAGGAACUAUUAACCAUUAACAAAUGAGUAGCAUUGAAAAAAAAAAAAGAUUUAAAUGCCUGGAUAUUCCAAACAGACGUGUGUACUGCUCGUUGCUAGGACGAGUGUCAGAAGUGAAUCCAUUGUGACUGGCUGCCUAAAUGCAGUGUCUCUCACUAUUUUUAGGCUCCUACUACAUCCUCUGCAUGAAGGCUCGCCCUUGCCCUUCUGCCUAGCUCCAUCCGACUUGCACACACGUAAACGCACACACACACACACACACACACACACACACACAGAGCUUAUCAGUGCGAUCCACUGCUUUUGCUUUGUGGGUAGAAUAUUGUGCUUUGCCACACGUUUCAAAGCUGCAAGCUUUUGUUAGCUCCCUUUGGAAAUCUGCGAUGGUGUGAAGCGACCUUCUGUCCCCACUCAACGGAGUGCAAACAUAGUUUAGUUCUUGCUAAAGACCUGGAUCCUAUCUUCGAGAUCGGAUGAUCCAAUCAGAGCCUCCAGCAGGACUGCUUAUAGCCGGUCUGGUUCCAAUGUGUGAAAUGGAUAUAAUGUUUCAGAGUGUGUAGCUGACUAACUGCUGCUUCCGUUUUAUGCCUUCAAGAUAAGCCCUUGGCAGGGAUUUUUUAUAAGCACACACAAAAGAAAACAACACAAGCUCAUCAGCCCUUCAGAAAUCCUUGGAAGAUGAAAGCCGAGCCGGCAGUGGUGCCUACUGCAGGGCCUGUUUGACCCCAUCCUCUCACAGAGAUUAAGGAACUGUCAGUGUCUAAGGUGCUAACCCACAGAAGCCAUUAAUUCUGUGUUUGAAGGAAAUCCUCUGGUGAAGGACCUGUUUGAUGGACACAAAGGAAUGGUGACCAAGUCCUUCCAGAGCCGACUGCUCAGUGCCGGCUGCCUCCCACAUCCGCCCAGCGGCCUCACUUGGCACAGUGUUUCUUUGGCUCAGAAGAUUUUGAUGAGCGAUUCCACUUGGAGAGGGCUUUUGUUUAGUUGUGACCCUGUGACUCUGGGCAAGAGAUUACCAGUGGCUUGGGACAACCAGACACGAUAUUUUAGAAAGCUUUGCCAAUGUUCCUGUCUGCUCUCUCUACCUGUAGGUACAUGGUGACCCUGUGAGUCAGGCAGGGGACUAGUAAAGAAGAGGUUCUGUGUUUCACUCAGGGCAACGGACUUAAUGGCAGGGUUAACCUAAAAGUCCUCUCUGUCCCCUAUGGAAUUUGCACAUUUUUUUAAAGAUGAGAACUUCACCUAGUCUGGACCCUUUUGUCAGCCAGAGAAUAGGUAUGUGACCUGGAACGCAAACAAGCAAUGCUCUUAUGUCAUUUUAAAUCAGACAGACCUGGGCUCAUCUGCUACCAUGCAAACUAGCAAACUAUUCUAUACGACAUGUUUUUUUUUUUUUUUGAAAAAAUAAAAAGAGAUUUAACAUACCAAAAUCAACAGCAUAAGCAGAGAUGCACCCUGCAAGUCAGAGGAAGCUGUCAGCACACACAGACCCCAAACAGAGCCCUUAACAGGGAGGGAGACCAGAUUAAGCCUAAAAGAAUCUGUCUUUAUAGUCUUUAUAUGUGAGGUAAUUAAAAACUCAUUGUGUUAGUUUUUCUGUUGUAAUAAAAUACUAAAAAAAAAAAAAAAAGGAAGAAAGAAAGAAAGAAAGAAUAAAAAUUUAAGGUACUGUGUUCCAAAGGUCAGCUGGAUCUACUGCCUACGUCUGAGGUCCCGCAGAGCGCUAUCGUGGGGCAAGAGAUGAAGGAGAGGGCUCCUGUCCUGGCACUUGGAUGCAAAGAGGCAGAGAGGAAGGGGCCAGGGACAAGAUGGACUCUUCAAAGCACGUUCCGCAUUCUCUCCGUAGGCUCUGCCUCCUAAGAGUUCAGCCUUGCACAGAUAGGGUCAGCACUUUGAUGGUCCAGUCACACCUACAGCUGGGGACCGAGCGUUCGGGGCAUGAUCGAGCAUUCCCAUCCACUCAUGGGGGAAGCAUUCAGAAUUUUAACAAAAGCACACACAUUUUCCGGAACUCUGGUUCCACUUGGUCUCUGCAGGGUUAGCAAAGACCGUCUGGGAUGGAAAUCUUCACAUCUUCAGCCCUUUGACUUUUUUUCAAAGGUAGUCCCCCAAGAAGGGUAUUUUCUACCUGUGGGCUCUAUGCCAGGCAUUGCAGUAAGCACAGGAGUGCCACAUAAUUGUCAUCAAAGAAGGGACUGUUUAGGCUGGGAAGACACAGACAGACAGACAAAUCAACGCCUAUCCCCCAGGUCUACCACUGUGAUUUGCAGAUAUCCUACUAAUGGGUACCUGUAACUUUGUUUUUUCAAAACCUACUUUUAAUGAUGGUUCUCAAACACUUUAACCUCCCUUUUAGCUCGCUACCCACCAGAGGUAGUGGUUAAGAAAGGACACAGGGGAAGUGGACCUGUAUAGAGAUGAUUCUUUGGAGCAAAUCCCGUCUGCCCUGUCAGGAAAUCAGAAGUUCAGUGCACAGGUCAGCAGAGGUAGCCCAGUCCACUCACAAACACUUCACGGAUACGCCAGCAGUCUAGUUUGGUAGAGUCGGGAUAGCGAACAUGAACCAGCAGCAGUGGCACUACCUAGCAGAGACAGCCAGGCCUCGGCCUCAGCAUGAGUCAGCAGGAGGGACCAGGGCCAGCAGGAGAAGUUCUCCUCUGUGCCUCUCAGCAAAGCAAGGAUCAGGAAAGACUCAAGAAAAAAGGCGUUGCACAGCCAGAUCUACAGGCAAGCCAAGCUCUGUCUCCAUCACUGACCUUUCAGUCCUAUUUAGAAUCCAUCCAAGCAUGGCAUAUCUUCCACAGUCUUCCCUCAGCUGACAUCGCUCUGACAACCAGCCUGAGUCAGCGGAAGUGACAAGGAGUCAACACACACCAACAACUUCUGGUACGUUUCUCACUAUGGAGUGCCAACAAUUGGAGCGCAACGACAGAGGGCAAGGCAGACCAACACAUGCGUGUCGUUAGUGAAGAAUCCCUCAUCAAGUGUCCUUUCACGUGCUUGCUUUAGUAGAACAUCCUUUCACCUGCGUCUGCUUCAGCAAAACGUUCCUUCACGUGUGUGCCCCAGCAAACCACCACCCAACACAACUGACUUUCCAAAGAACCCUUAGGUUUCCACUUCAGUUACCCCAUUAUCUUCAGAACGUACUCUGUCCAUCAAACCUGUGGCCUAUGGCCCAUGCCAGUAGGCUGUGUCUGUCCUGUGUGCUCCAAUAAUUUGCCACCAAGGUACCAACCCUGGUCUGUAGGUCUGAGUUGGAUCUGUCACUAGGCCUGGUCGCUUGGGGAAGAACUCAGGGAAUUUGACCGUCUGUAGGGAAGCUCCAAGGAACCACUCGGUGGUGGGAAAGCACACCUGAGACUGGGAAAGCUGGAGCAGGCCCAGGAGCUCCCCCGGCCUGUGAUGAGGCCAGAGGUAUGGGGUUCUCAAACUCUUGGAUAUCUUGGGAGUCUCAGAAGAGCAGAGAAUGGAGUUGGGGGGCCCUCGGGCUGGGAACAGAGCCUAGCCCAGGGUCAGGGUGAAAAGGGGAGCUCCUGUUGUCUCACGGGGAUUGUUGUCCUUAGCUUGGCAGAAGCAGGCUUUGUGGUGGUUGUGGCUGGGAUCUCAGAGAGGCCUUCUACGGGAGAUUAGGCUACAGCUCUAUAAACAAAGGCCUUUCCCAGGUUCCUCAUGGUGGAUCUUGACGAAACAGACAGUCCAUGGUUUAAACAGUUUAUUGUCGUGGCAGAAAAUGGAUGCAUAAAACUAUACCCACUUCUCAGGGUGGGCCUGAGAUUAAAUACCUUUUGCAGAGAGGAAUGUCUGGGAAGGGAAGCUUAUUGGCUAAGCCCUCUGGGCCUCUAGGUACCUCAUUAGCAUGGAGAACUCUGCUUUGGGCCUACAUGACCAGAGGACGAGUUUCUUUUAUGUGAGAAGCAUGGCACAUGUUCCAAGUCAGGAGUCCGGCAGGGAGCUGGGAGUCGCCUAAGCCUCAGGUGUGUGCCCACCAGGUCUUUGAGUCUCAAUCUGCUCUACCUUACCAAACUUCCUGGCAUGGUUUACACCCCACACUGGUUGUUGCUUAGCCCUCUGGGAUAUAGAAGAUUCUUUGAGACUGAUUAGCUUUUCUCAAACCCUGCAUUCUGCCAGGGUACCAUGGUGGAAUUUCUGCAAUCAGCUUUACCAAGGACCGAUGCAGAAAUGCCCGUUCCCUGCAGGGUGACUUCCAAGGUAUUCAUCGCAAGGACUGGAAGACAAUCUGCAUAACCGUCUCUUGGUAACUUCUUCUGGGGCCAAUGGUUGACUCAGAGCUUCAAGUGGAAUAUGUUGUCUAGAAGUAGGAGCUUAGGAUGGUUUUGUCUUUGGAAGACAUACUUUAAAGAGGGGCUGGGGAACUGCCUCAACAGUGUGUGCUGUGCAAACAAGGGGACCAGAGCUCAGAUAUGCAGAAGCCACAUACAUGCCCAGUUGAUAUGGUGGCCCAUCCAUAAUCCCAGCCUCUGAAGUAGACAGAGGAAUCUCUGGAACAAGCCGGCCAUUGAGACAGACCAUACGAACAAGUUCUGGGUUGGAUUGAGAAAUUCUCAAGUAGAAGAACCAUUGAGGAAGACUUCGAACAUCAACCUUGGGCUUUCACACACAUUUGAAUCUUUGUUUACGUGUUCAUUUGUGCUCACACAAACAUUCGUAUAGGCACUACACACACACACACACACACACACACACACACACAAACACACAUGAAAAUUUAAAAGAAUUUAAAAAUAAUCACAAAAAAAGAGGGAGAAGAGGAAAAAGAAAUAUUGUCCCAAAUAAGUUGGAGAAAGAGAACUAGGCAGAGGUAGAAAUUUAGCUAUGACGCAGACCCCAUGUUAGCCAACCCAGACCAUGCGAUGGAGUGAAUGUUGGUCAUUAGAGUGUUCUGCAGUGUGUUGCCAUGACCCCGGAGCUCCCCCCUAGUCACCAAGUGAGAGAUGCCCCGUGGAGUGUGAUGUGGAGAGGAAUUUUAAUCCCACAACAUGGCUGCUCUGGCAAGGGAAUCACAUGUAAGGAUGUGCUGGAAGGCGGACACACCCUGCAUUACUUUAUGAUCUGGCUGGAAUAUAGAUGCACCCUUAGUACACACCUUUAAUCCCUAACAAUGAAGGCAACAUUAGUUUGUAGAAGGAAGAAGCCAAUUUAAAUGUGAUGCCUAACUGAGGGGCAGACAAAGUGACAAAUCAGAGAAAGAUUUGACAGAAUGAGUCAGAGAUAGGAUAUGGGCAACUCAUAUAAGAACAACCCAGGAGGGGCUGGGGAUUUAGCUCAGUGGUAGAGCGCUUACCUAGGAAGGACAAGGCCCUGGGUUCGGUCCCCAGCUCCGAAAAAAAAGAACCAAAAAAAAAAAAAAAAAAAAAAAAGAACAACCCAGGAAAGAGAGGCUACUUAAAAGCAGCGAGAGAGAAAGAAAGGUGUGUGUGUGUGUGUGUGUGUGUGUGUGUGUAAAACAGUUACACUGACACAGUUUUACAGAGACAGGUUACAGAGAGAGCAAGCUAGACACAGGUGAAGACAGAAAGAGUCAGAGAAUGAGAAGGGGCCAGAAGAUUAGAACAUAGUGUCAAAGUUAGUCUGAGGCCAGGCAGAACAAUUCAGGCAGAAGCUGAGAGAAGCUGAAUUGAAUCAGUCAGCUUGGAGGAUGAGAUUGCAAAAAUGCUAGGCCAAGCCUAGGGAUAGUUAGAACAGAGAAUCGAAAAGAUAUUUCUCGGCCUGGUCAGGUGGGCACUCCUGAGGCUGCAGAGUGGAAGAGACCACCAACACUGCUCACCCCUGCCCACAUCCCUGGCCCAAGAGGAAACUGUAUAAGGCCUCUGGGCUCCCAUGGGGGAGGGCCCAGGAGCGGCAGGACCCCUGCCUGAGACACCACCGGAACCUGAAGGAAACAGACCGGAUAAACAGUUCUCUGCACCCAAAUCCCGUGAGAGGGAGAGCUAAAACUUCAGAGAGGCAGACAAGCCUGGGAAACCAGAAGAGACUGCACUCUGCAUACACAUCUCGGACGCCAGAGGAAAACACCAAAGGCCAUCUGGAACCCUGGUGCACUGAAGCUCCCGGAAGGGGCGGCACAGGUAUUCCUGGUUGCUACCGCUGCAGAGAGCCCGUGGGCAGCACCCCACGAGCGAACUUGAGCCUCGGGACCACAGGUAAGACCAACUUUUCUGCUGCAAGAAAGCUGCCUGGUGAACUCAAGACACAGGCCCACAGGAACAGCUGAAGACCUGUAAAGAGGAAAAACUACACGCCCGAAAGCAGAACACUCUGUCCCCAUAACUGACUGAAAGAGAGGAAAACAGGUCUACAGCACUCCUGACACACAGGCUUAUAGGACAGUCUAGCCACUGUCAGAAAUAGCAGAACAAAGUAACACUAGAGAUAAUCUGAUGGCGAGAGGCAAGCGCAGGAACCCAAGCAACAGAAACCAAGACUACUUGGCAUCAUCGGAGCCCAAUUCUCCCACCAAAACAAACAUGGAAUAUCCAAACACACCAGAAAAGCAAGAUCUAGUUUCAAAAUCAUAUUUGAUCAUGAUGCUGGAGGACUUCAAGAAAGACGUGAAGAACUCCCUUAGGGAAACACAGGAAAACAUUAAUAAACAAGUAGAAGCCUACAGAGAGGAAUCGAAAAAAUCCCUGAAAGAAUUCCAGGAAAACACAAUCAAACAG